AAGGGCUGGCUGCUGCUGGGGAAGGAUCUCUGCUGUGAUUUGUGACUUCUGUUGUCAUUGUUCCACAUCAGAGCAUCGUGUAAAGUGUGUUAAAGAGUUCCUGUUCUGGUCCUUGAAUGCCCUUAUGGGUAUUUUGGGCUCUCAGACAGGAGGAGAGGAGCGACGUUCCUGGAGGACCUGGAGUGCAGAGGAAAGAAGGUGGAAUUCCCAGCUGGACCAAAGCAGCGAAAAAGAGAUGAUUCUGUGAUUCUCUUUCUGGAGGUCUUUCUCCUUGGAGUUUUCUUCUACAAGCCUAGGACCCGGAGCGCCGCAGGGACGCCUCUGCAGGAAGCACUGCAGGCUGUUAAAGCCCGCCGCUGCUGCUAUGGCAGAAGACCUUCUGAUCAGAAGACCUGCAGAUCCAAGGGACUUCAUGGUCGGAGAGGAGGAGCUCCAUACAACCCAGUUCAAAGUAGCCUUUUGGUUUUCAGAUGCUGUCCCUCUCAUCUCAUCCAAAAAAUAAGACAUUUUCUCCCAGAAAUACCAGUUUUCUUUCAAAAAAUGUGGAAUAUUAGCUUUCAAGGAGGAAAUGUCGUAUUUUUGGGGUGAAAACUGGUAUUUGUGGGAGGUAAUAUCCUAUAUUUGGGAGAAAAGUGUUAUUUUAGGGGAGAAAACUUCAUAAUUCUCAGAGAAUGUAUCAUAUUUUGGGGAGGAAAGUGGAAUUUCUGGGUGAAAGUGUCCUAUCUGGGGGGAAUUUCCCUUAUGUCCUGGUAGAAAAUGACACCCAGAGCCACCAAUUUCCCUUCAGUUCCCCCCUGUGCUUCUCAGUGGGGUCACCCACUGUUACUGGGGUUCCAUGGGGUCACAUCAUUGCGAAUAUGGGGGUCAGCCCACUUCCAUUAUGGGGGUCCCAAAGGUGCCAUUAUUGGGGUCCCAGGGGGGUUCUCCUCUUUCCAUCACUGGGGUCCCGUCGCUGUCGCCCCACUGCUGCCGUUGGGUGAGAAAAGUCCCCAAAAAACGGGAAUUUAAAGAAAAAAGCAGAACCCAAACCCACGCGUUUGGGGGAUGAGGUCACGUGGU